rnacentral:rRNA from 1 species
AUGGCCCAUGCUAAUGUUGCCCUCAACUUCAACGCGUUCCUAGAGAAAACCAAGUUGAAAGACGAUGGAAGCAACUACACGAACUGGGUCCGUAACCUGAGGACUAUCCUCAUAGCUGCCAAGAAAGCAUAUGUCCUUGAAGCACCGCUAGGUGAUGCACCUGUUUUCCCAGCAACUCAAGACGUUAUGAACGCUUGGCAGUCGCGUAGUGAUGAUUACUCCCUGGUUCAGUGCGGCAUGCUUUACAGCUUAGAACCGGGGCUCCAAAACCGUUUUGAGCAGCACGGAGCAUAUGAGAUGUUCCAAGAGCUGAAAAUGGUUUUCCAAGCUCAUGCUCGGGUCGAGAGAUAUGAAGUCUCCGACAAGUUCUACAGUUUUAAGAUGGAGGAGAAUAGUUCUGUCAGCGAGCACAUACUCAAAAUGGCUGGGUUGCACAACCGCUUAUCUCAGCUGGGAGUUAAUCUCCCGGAUGAUGCGGUCGUUGACAGAAUCCUUCAGUCGCUCCCACCUAGCUACAAGAGCUUUGUGAUGAACUUCAAUUUGCAGGGGAUUGAAAAGACCAUUCCUGAGGUAUAUUCAAUGUUGAAAUCAGCAGAGGUGGAGAUCAAAAAGGAACAUCAAGUGUUGAUGGUGAAUAAAACCACUAAGUUCAAGAAAGGCAAGGGUAAGAAGAACUUCAAGAAGGACGGCAAGGGAGUUGCCGCGCCGGGUAAGCCAGUUGCCGGGAAGAAGCCAAAGCAUGGACCCAAACCUGAGACUGAGUGCUUUUAUUGCAAGGGAAACGGUCACUGGAAGCGGAACUGCCCCAAGUACUUAGCGGAUAAGAAGGCCGGCAAUACCAAAGGUAUAUGUGAUAUGCAUGUUAUUGAUGUGUACCUAACCAGCGCUCGUAGUAGCUCCUGGGUAUUUGAUACCGGUGCGGUUGCUCAUAUUUGUAACUCAAAACAGGAGCUGCGGAAUAAGCGGAGACUGGCAAAGGACGAGGUGACGAUGCGCGUCGGGAAUGGUUCCAAGGUCGAUGUGAUCGCCGUCGGCACGCUACCUCUACAUUUACCUACGGGAUUAGUUUUAAACCUCAAUAAUUUUUAUUUAGUACCAGCUUUGAGCAUGAACAUUGUAUCUGGAUCUCGUUUAAUGCGAAAUGGUACUCAUUUAAAUCUGAGAAUAAUGGUUGUUCUAUUUAUAUGA